UACAGAGGCCUCGAGCGUUAGGCGGAAUCACUGGGCUUAAAGCGUGUGUAGGUGGAUGCCUAAGUACCUUGUGAAAUCCCACGGCUUAACCGUGGAACUGCUGGGUAUACUGGGCGGUCUUGAGCCACUCAGGGGCUACCGGAACAAGCGGUGGAGCGGUGAAAUGCGUAGAUAUCGCUUGGAACGCCAAUGGUGAAAACAGGUAGCUGGGGGGUGUGCUGGACACUGAGACACGGAAAGCCAGGGGAGCAAACGGGG
rnacentral:rRNA from 1 species